CUAGGUAUGUCCCUGCAACAUCUAGCUACAACAGAAGACUCAGCUACAGGUGAAGUUUCAGCCUACAAGUCAUUUCUUUAAAUAAUGGCGCCCGCUGUAUGGACUCAAGAUGCAGUUGUUCCAGUUUUCUAGGAAUAUUGCACUUUGCAUAGAAUUCUUAUUGUUCAUUAAAGUCCAAUUUCAAUGAUAAUACACAAGACUGACUGAAACCAGUGGUGUGACUGGUCACCUAAGUGUCAUUGUAUUGGUUCGGUUCCCUGACUGGAUGACUGCACUUUUUAAUCAGAAGAUUAAUGAAUAGUGAAUAACCAAUACUGUUGUGCAUUCAUGAAUACCCUUGUUCCCGUGACUACAGGUAUUUGUAUGAAAAUCAGCCAUUUCUCCAAUAGCCAUAGGAACGAAACCUCAUUGAAUGGCAAACAAAAAUGAGCACAAAGUUGAUGGCAGCAAAGAACUGUUCUGAAAUUAUAUGAAAGUUCAUGAACUUGGUUUUACCAUAUCUGCCUAACCCUAUUACUAAACACAGCAGCUUAGGCUGGAGCUGUCUCUUUAUAUGUGUUUCUACAGAGCCCUCCAUAAUAGAACCUUUCAUCAUAAGUGCUUUAGGUGCUAUGAUAAUAAUAUCUAUUGUUUAGUAUGUUUUUUCUGCUUAUCAAUUCUGAAUUUAACCAGCCUCAUAACCCAGCUGAGGAGUAAUAUCUGUGUAGUUAAAGUGGAAUUGGAGUGUACAACUGUUAGGGAGGCAGAGUGGUGCUGUGUCCAGGGCUCAGGACUAGGAAUCAGAAGAAUGUGUUCUAUUUUUAGCUCUGCCCCUAAAUUACUAGGAUCCCAUUGCUUGGACCUGCUCACUCAACCUUAGAGCUAGUCAGAAAAACUUCAACAGAACAGUUUUUUAUUGGGAAAUCAAAACACUGAGUAAAAUUAUAUCGGUUUUGCUGAAAUUUCAUUUUGGAGAAAAAAACUGGGGGUGGGGAGAAGUGAGGGGAGUUCUGACAGUGUCACAACCUCCUGGUUCAACAUUUUCAGAAUGAAACAUUUAU